GGAGGGAUCCCUUAGUGGCCAAAGGAUCAGACUGUAAAUCUGACGUCAUAGACUUCGAAGGUUCGAAUCCUUCUCCCUCCA
rnacentral:tRNA from 1 species